rnacentral:lncRNA from 1 species
UACCAUGAAGCCUUAAGAAAUACCCUUGCAUGUUGGAAGGUUUGCAAAGCUCCCAAUAGAUACUGAGGACUUUGGAAUCCCCAUGAACACAUGCCAACUAAAGGAGAUGGAGGACCCUUUUUAAGCGUGCAUGCGCCUAGAAUCUCUUGCACUGCUUGGGUAUUUGGUUGUGCCCAGGGAACGAUCCCCAUGUCUUUCUCCCUAUCUCACAACACUUGUCUCCUCUUACAAGGUAGAUCUCCUCUCAACCCGACACCUAACUGUGAACAGGUUCUUGGAACACA